AAGAGGUGCAGCCAGGAUCCACCCCUUCCCAGAACUUAUGUAAGGGUUGGCAGUGGAAGCAAGUAUCUUGCUGGAGAUUUCUGUGUAUCUAAGGCCUUCCGAAGCUGUACCUGGCACCUGAUUGUGUAGGUGGUGGAGAGCAGGAGGAGAAAUGUGUCCUUGUGGAGAUCUCAACCAGACACAGAGAUGGAAGAAAAACUUCUCCCUUACAAAUUGAAGCACUUGUUUCAUCCCUUCUUCAAGACUUCAUUACAUUUCCUCAGGCCAGAGAACGUUUAUUUUUAAAGCAAAAUCUCUUAACUCCUGGAGGCUGAAAUGGCCUGAUGACAGCAUAGGAAAAGGAUGGAAGAAGCAUGGUCUUUCACUCACUCACAGAAAUCACCGUGGCCAGAAAGUUGGCUAAAGAUCUUCCUGGCCAAGUUCCAGCGCUGAUGAGGGAUUCUCAAAUACUACUUCUGCAGGGACUGAAGGCUACGAGUAAACGAGAGGGCUGCCCAGAAGAGAAGGCAAAUAGAGGAUGAGGAGCAGCUCAGAAGAUGAUGUUUGCCAGCGGCCUGCAACGCUACUCUGCAGCUUCUUGCCUUUUUCAAUAGUCAGAAGUGGAUAAAUAAAUAAAAGCACAUUUUAAAAUUGGAAAUAAAUAAAUAAAACCAGAACAAACAGCAGCAGUUAAAAAAACAUAAUGCUGGCUACACCCAGCAUCACUCAGUCUCAGCUGCGUUCCUGUGUGCUUCUAUCCAGUACCAGCCAGCACUUCAGCAAUAAUCCAGUCAAAGCUGCCAGCAUGUACAAAAAUCUGGCCCAAUUAAUCUAAAUAUAGACUCUAGUGGGACAUUACUGGAAAUAAGGGUUUAUCAUUUUAAUCAGUACCCUUUGGUUUAAUUCAAUGCUAUGUGACAUUCCUGUGACUGGCUGGCUGUUCCCUGAGCAAUUCCCUUCAACACUUCCAUGGGUCAGUAUCCAGGACUGAUGUUUCCUCCUCCUUUUUCCUCAGAGAGCCAGGACAUCCAGAGCAGCCCAGUUUUAACAGCAUGCAAUGAAAUGGCCCCAUAAAGGCCAAAUGAAGGCUGGAGGUAUGCCAGCAUGUGAACAGCAUGUGGGGUGACUGCACAGCUAAAUAUCCUGGUUAGUCUCAGCAGCAAUCUAGGAAAGCAGCUGGAAAAACAUCAAAAUAAUUCACAGCACAGAUAUCAUUGAAUUGUAAAGGGAGAAAAGCUGUAUCUCUGUUUGGUGCUAGUAUUUUAAAGAAAUGAUUUGAUGAAACUCAGAGUUACGUUUUGGUAAUUCUAAAAUUCUAUGAUUACAGAGAAGCUGUAAAAAAAAGCUGACUCUUCAGCUGGACAAAUCUGCCGAAAUUGGUCAUUAAUAUGAUAUCUUAAAUAUCCGCUACCAAGGCCCAGAUGAAUUCCUGAAAAGUCAAAAAGCAUGAGAUAGAGAAGACCUGCAAGGUCAUCUGGUCCAUCUCCUUGUCAGUGUUUGUUGUUUUGUUUCUCCCUGGUUUCCCAUGUCUUAAUUUAAAUUUGUUCUUAUUUCCUCCCUCCUUAUCAACCAUAUGAAUCUUCUUUAAAAUAACUGCUCUCCUCCUCAGUAUAAGAUCAGAUAAUAGAGUACAGAUUUAAUUCCUUUCUCUUGUAGAACCUGAAAUUAAUCUGUCUCUAUUAAGAGCUCAAUUGUGGUUAAUCACUAUUGUCCCUAUCGCUUUGUUUCAGCUUGUUCUGAGCACACUGCUUUUU